rnacentral:rRNA from 1 species
CACGUAGGGUGCGAGCGUUGUCCGGAAUUAUUGGGCGUAAAGAGCUCGUAGGCGGUGUGUCGCGUCGGCCGUGAAAACCUGCAGCUUAACUGUGGGCGUGCGGUCGAUACGGGCAUCACUGGAGUUCGGCAGGGGAGACUGGAAUUCCUGGUGUAGCGGUGAAAUGCGCAGAUAUCAGGAGGAACACCGGUGGCGAAGGCGGGUCUCUGGGCAAUUCCUGACGCUGAGGCGCGAAAGCGUGGGGAGCAAACGGG